rnacentral:tRNA from 20 species
AGGGCUAUAGCUCAGUUGGUAGAGCACCUCGUUUACACGCGAGAAGGUCUACGGUUCGAGUCCGUAUAGCCCUA